rnacentral:lncRNA from 1 species
ACCCUAUUUCCAAAUGAGGUCACAUUCACAGGUACCAGAAGUUAUGAAUUGAACACAUCUUUUUUGGGAUGUGUUCUACCCAUUAUAAUUCAUUCUACCCACUAUAAUCACAAGUGGCUUUGACAUUCAGUGACACAAAGAUGAUAAGGACUCGGUUCCUGACCUCAGGACAUUCUCAGUCUAUCAGUGAAGACAAACACAUGCUGGUGAACACACACACAUACACAAGCACACAUAUACCCCGAGCCUCAUUCAAGUCAGACUGUGAUUAAAAAUGGAAAUUGUGUCAUCAGGAGGGAUUGGGGAAGUCUUCACACAAGAAAGAACAUCUAAGUUGGGCCUUGAAGGGCUUGAGGUUGGCCCGCAGAUCCAUGGACACCUUGUGCUUG